rnacentral:rRNA from 1 species
UACGUAGGGGACAAGCGUUGUCCGGAAUUAUUGGGCGUAAAGCGCACGUAGGCGGCAUUGCAAGUCCCAUGUGAAAUCCCACGGCUUAACCGUGGAAGUGCAUGGGAAACUGCAGUGCUUGAGUACUUAAGAGGAUCGUGGAAUUCCCGGUGUAGAGGUGAAAUUCGUAGAUAUCGGGAGGAACACCAGUGGCGAAGGCGGCGAUCUGGGAAGAUACUGACGCUGAGGUGCGAAAGCGUGGGGAGCAAACAGG